UACGUAGGGGGCAAGCGUUGUCCGGAUUUAUUGGGCGUAAAGAGCGUGUAGGCGGUCAGGUAGGUCCGUUGUGAAAACUCGAGGCUCAACCUCGAGACGUCGGUUGAAACCGUAUGGCUAGAGUCCGGAAGAGGAGAGUGGAAUUCCUGGUGUAGCGGUGAAAUGCGCAGAUAUCAGGAAGAACACCCGUGGCUAAGGCGGCUCUCUAGUACGGUACUGACGCUGAGACGCGAAAGCGUGGGGAGCGAACAGG
rnacentral:rRNA from 1 species